rnacentral:rRNA from 1 species
CCCUUAGAUGUUCUGGGCCGCACGCGCGCUACACUGACUACUUCAACGAGUUGUUUCCUUGAUCGAAAGGUCUGGGUAAUCUUUGAAAGGUAGUCGUGAUGGGGAUAGAUCCUUGCAAUUUUUGAUCUUCAACGAGGAAUCCCUAGUAAACGCAAGUCAUCAGCUUGCAUUGAUUACGUCCCUGCCCUUUGUACACACCGCCCGUCGCACCUACCGAUUGAAUGGUCCGGUGAAUCUUUAGGACUGUGGCUGAGGCCUUGCCUUGUGCGGGUCUGGCCGUGGGAAUUUAGUUAAACCUUACCAUUUAGAGGAAGGUGAAGUCGUAACA